rnacentral:rRNA from 1 species
GUGGGGAAUAUUGGACAAUGGGCGAAAGCCUGAUCCAGCCAUGCCGCGUGUGUGAAGAAGGUCUUCGGAUUGUAAAGCACUUUAAGUUGGGAGGAAGGGCAGUAAGUUAAUACCUUGCUGUUUUGACGUUACCGACAGAAUAAGCACCGGCUAACUUCGUGCCAGCAGCCGCGGUAAUACGAAGGGUGCAAGCGUUAAUCGGAAUUACUGGGCGUAAAGCGCGCGUAGGUGGUGUUGUAAGUUGGAGGUGAAAUCCCCGGGCUCAAACUGGGAACUGCCUCCAAAACUGCAUGACUAGAGUACGGUAGAGGGUAGUGGAAUUUCCUGUGUAGCGGUGAAAUGCGUAGAUAUAGGAAGGAACACCAGUGGCGAAGGCGACUACCUGGACUGAUACUGACACUGAGGUGCGAAAGCGUGGGGAGCAAACAGGAUUAGAUACCCGUGUAGUCC